rnacentral:tRNA from 2 species
GCGAAAGUGGCGGAACUGGCAGACGCGCAGGAUUCAGGAUCCUGUGGCCGCGAGGCCGUGGGGGUUCAAGUCCCCCCUUUCGCACCA